rnacentral:lncRNA from 1 species
ACAUGGCUGUGUGGCAGACCUUCCAGCGCAACUCCAAACACCCUGACCUGGAGGACAAGAAAGAUCUGUUCAGUUCUUUAUCCGGAUUCCAUAAACCGACCGAAGAUGCUGAACGACGGCCAGACGAACCACAUUUCUCUCCAAAACCCUCAUUAUGACGUAUAAUAUCUAUUGAAAGCCUCGCAAUAUGCAGAAAUACGCUAUUUAUAUUUUAAAAGGAUGUAAAUAUACGUUAAUUUACGUUACGAUUGACGUUAUUCGACUUUUCUACAGUUCCGCCUGAGGCAUUUCGAUAAAAAUCAACCGAUCAGAGACACCAAACUCCGCUUAUAUCUAAUUCUCCCACUUUACUCCGCUUAAACCUCAUUUUAUUUAGUAAAACAAUGAGUAAAUGUCUCCUUAUGAGUCCAGUGUUUGCGUCUGUCCGACCGCUUUAUUUCCUGUCUUCAAACAACGGCAGUUCGGACAAUGUUCAAAUUUCGCCCUGCAUACGUCACUCAAGCGUUUCACGCACUCUGAUUGGAUGGGGAUUGUCACGUGCUCAGACAGACCCGCCCCCUGGACAGUGUGCGAUGCAUGAUUGAUGGUGUAACAGAUGCGAAACCUCUGAAUGUUUGUCACAGCAUUAUAUCGCACACACACACACACACACACACAUUCGCACGCCUGGACUAGUGCUAAAUAACUGUCCACAUGAGUACCAUAUUUCUCCAGUGAUUGUGGGAUUUAUAGAAAGGCAUUUUUCCACAGUGCAGUUGUGAAACCCUCAUUGUCACCACUUUAUUUCUUCAUUUGCAGCACUGAUUUAAUGCAUUUUGGCUAAGGGUGCUGCAGGAAAUGUACAUUUGUUAUGCAAGAUGUCCUUUAUAAUGCAUGCACGUGUUUUAUUUGGAUGCUUUUACCAUCUGAACAUCAUUUCUGUUGUAUUUGCUUUAAAAUGAAAGUUGCAUGCACAUAUUU